rnacentral:rRNA from 1 species
UACGUAGGGGGCUAGCGUUGUCCGGAAUCAUUGGGCGUAAAGCGCGUGUAGGCGGCCCGGUAAGUCCGCUGUGAAAGUCGGGGGCUCAACCCUCGGAUGCCGGUGGAUACUGUCGGGCUCGAGUACGGAAGAGGCGAGUGGAAUUCCUGGUGUAGCGGUGAAAUGCGCAGAUAUCAGGAGGAACACCAAUAGCGAAGGCAGCUCGCUGGGACGGUACUGACACUGAGGCGCGAAAGCGUGGGGAGCGAACAGG